AGGAAUCUUGCGCAAUGGGCGAAAGCCUGACGCAGCGACGCCGCGUGAGGGAUGAAGGCCUUCGGGUUGUAAACCUCUGUCAGGGGGGAAGAACCCGGAGUCGGUGAAUAACCGCCUCCGCUGACGGUACCCCCAGAGGAAGCACCGGCUAACUCCGUGCCAGCAGCCGCGGUAAGACGGAGGGAGCUAGCGUUGUUCGGAAUCACUGGGCGUAAAGCGCGCGUAGGCGGCUUAUCAAGUUGGGCGUGAAAGCCCGGGGCUCAACCCCGGAAAUGCGCCCAAGACUGGUUGGCUUGAGACCGAGAGAGGGUGGUGGAAUUCCCAGUGUAGAGGUGAAAUUCGUAGAUAUUGGGAAGAACACCAGUGGCGAAGGCGGCCACCUGGCUCGGAUCUGACGCUGAGGCGCGAAAGCGUGGGGAGCAAA
rnacentral:rRNA from 1 species